rnacentral:misc_RNA from 1 species
UAUGAAGAACGUAGCGAAAUGCGAUAACUAAUGUGAAUUGCAGAAUUCCGUGAAUCAUCGAGUCUUUGAACGCACAUUGCGCCCCCUGGUAUUCCGGGGGGCAUGCCUGUCCGAGCGUCAUUGCUGCCCAUCAAGCACGGCUUGUGUGUUGGGUCCUCGUCCCCCCCGGGGGACGUGCCCGAAAGGCAGCGGCGGCACCGCGUCCGGUCCUCGAGCGUAUGGGGCUUUGUCACCCGCUCUGCAGGCCCGGCCGGCGCUGGCCGACGCGAAAGCAACCAUUUUUUCUCCAGGUUGACCUCGGAUCAGGUAGGGAUACCCGCUGAACUUAAGCAUAUCAAUAAGCGGAGGA